rnacentral:rRNA from 1 species
UACGAAGGGGGGCUAGCGUUGCUCGGAAUUACUGGGCGUAAAGGGCGCGUAGGCGGUCUUGUAAGUCUUGUGUGAAAUCCCUCGGCUUAACUGAGGAACUGCACGGGGUACUGCAUGACUUGAGAUCGGGAGAGGGAAGCGGAAUUCCGGGUGUAGCGGUGAAAUGCGUAGAUAUCCGGAGGAACACCGGUGGCGAAGGCGGCCACCUGGACGGUAACUGACGCUGAGACGCGAAAGCGUGGGUAGCAAACAGG